rnacentral:lncRNA from 1 species
CGUUUUAGCUACGUCUCUGACAGCGAUCAUCAGGCGUACGUGGUUAAACUAAAUUGUUAAUCGUCGAUGCUUGUGAGUGAAAUCUAACAACGAAUUGCAAAAUGAUCGACAACUGACAACCGCCUAUGCAAAAUGCAAAGAUCAAUACAAUUUGGCAUGUUAACAGCCAAAACUUGAAAAUGCAUACCAUGUGGGAAAAUGUUGGUCGUUGAAGACUAGCCAUUGUCUCCAAACAUAGAGUAAGUAAAUAGAAGCGCGAGAAGUACCUGAUCAACUGAAGAUGACGGUCCCGGAGCGCCGGAAUCGAGGGCCGGCGCUGGAGCUCCGACUGGAGGUGCGGGUGGGCCGGGGGCCAGUGCGAGGGGAGAAGGCGCCAAAGCUGGAGAUUUCACGGUGGGUGCUGGAGCUGGUACCUGAGCUGGCGGAGACGCAAGAGGGGCCGGUGGUGGUGUUGCUGGUGGUGGAGUGGCGGGUGGCGGAGUGGCUGGUGGUGGUGUGGCCGGUGGUGGAGUAGCGGGUGGAGGAGUAGCUGGAGGUGGAGUUGCGGGUGGAGGAGCGUUGACUGGAGGUGGGGUGGCCGGCGGGGGAGCUGAGACAGGGGGAGGAGUUGAUGGAGGCGGAGACGUGGUAACUGGGGGCGGUGCUGUGGCAACGGGAGGAGGAGCUGACGUGGGAGGAGGGGUGGAUGCGGGAGGUGGAGUGCUGGCGGGGGGAGAGGGUGGUGGCUGGUUGUUGGAUGGUGGAGUUGUGGGUGUGGCAGGGGGAGCAGGAGUGCUAGUGGUGGGUGGGUUGGCGGGGGGAGAUUGGCCCCCGACACCGGCGAAGACAAUGCAGACAAAGCCUAGGAAGAACAAAGUCUUGCGAUCCAUGUCUGAUCUCUCUGUGUGAUUAACAGAGAGCGAGAGAGAGAGAAUGAAUGAGUAAGUCGACUCGGUCGACUUAUGGAGUUUUGGGUUUAGAGUGGGAGAGAGA